rnacentral:rRNA from 1 species
UAUUAUUGGAAUUGUAAGAGUGUUUCCUGAGUAGUAAUAGUUAAGAUCUUGAAACUUAAAGAAUUUGGCGGUGUCUUAGUCCUUUCAGAGGAAUCUGUCUUGUAAUCGAUAUUACACGUUAAAUAUAACUUGACUUAGUUUUACCAGCUUGUAUACCGCCGUCAUAAGAAUAUCUUUCUGAGAGAAUUUUCUUAAUAUUAGAAGAUUGAAUGUCAGGUCAAGGUGCAGUUUAUAGUUAAGAAUUGAUGGAUUACAAUAAUAUUAGUUACACGGAUUUUUAUGGAUGAAGAUUUGUUAAUGAAGGUGGAUUUGAGGGUAAUUUUGUUAAAAUAUAGCAGGGUGAACUAGGCUCUAAGGCAUGUACACAUCGCCCGUCACUCUCAUUUAAGUGAG